rnacentral:rRNA from 1 species
AUUGAACGCUGACGGCAUGCCUUACACAUGCAAGUCGAACGGCAGCACGGGAGCAAUCCUGGUGGCGAGUGGCGAACGGGUGAGUAAUACAUCGGAACGUGCCCAAUCGUGGGGGAUAACGCAGCGAAAGCUGUGCUAAUACCGCAUAAGAUCUACGGAUGAAAGCAGGGGACCGCAAGGCCUUGCGCGAAUGGAGCGGC